rnacentral:rRNA from 1 species
UGGGGAAUAUUGGACAAUGGGCGCAAGCCUGAUCCAGCGACGCCGCGUGAGUGAUGAAGGCCUUCGGGUUGUAAAGCUCUGUUGAGGGAGAAGAAAACAGUUGGCGCGAAUAGCUCCAGCUCUUGACGGUAUCCCUUUAGAAAGCACCGGCUAACUCUGUGCCAGCAGCCGCGGUAAGACAGAGGGUGCAAACGUUGCUCGGAAUUACUGGGCGUAAAGCGCGUGUAGGUGGGCCGAUAAGUCGGGCGUGAAAUCCCUGAGCUCAACUCAGGAACUGCACCUGAAACUGUCGGCCUUGAGUAGUGGAGAGGAAAGCAGAAUUCCUGGUGUAGAGGUGAAAUUCGUAGAUAUCAGGAGGAACACCGGUGGCGAAGGCGGCUUUCUGGACACUUACUGACACUGAGACGCGAAAGCGUGGGGAGCAAACAGGAUUAGAUACCCCCGUAGUCC